AGAGUUUGAUUAUGGCUCAGGAUGAACGCUAGCUACAGGCUUAACACAUGCAAGUCGAGGGGCAGCGGGAUUGAAGCUUGCUUCAAUUGCCGGCGACCGGCGCACGGGUGAGUAACGCGUAUCCAACCUUCCGUACACUCAGGGAUAGCCUUUCGAAAGAAAGAUUAAUACCUGAUGGUAUCUUAAGCACACAUGUAAUUAAGAUUAAAGAUUUAUCGGUGUACGAUGGGGAUGCGUUCCAUUAGGUAGUAGGCGGGGUAACGGCCCACCUAGCCAACGAUGGAUAGGGGUUCUGAGAGGAAGGUCCCCCACAUUGGAACUGAGACACGGUCCAA
rnacentral:rRNA from 1 species